rnacentral:rRNA from 1 species
GACGAACGCUGGCGGCGUGCUUAAUGAAUGCGAGUCGAGCGAGAACCGGACUGAGGAAACCUUCGGGUGGAAUCAGUCUGGGGAGAGCGGCAAACGGGUGAGUAACACGUGGGUAACCUGCCCCUCAGACGGGGAUAAUUCGCCGAAAGGCGGACUAAUACCCGAUGGUGAUGUGCCAACACAUGUUGAUACAUCUAAAGGCUCCGGUGCUGAGGGAGGGGUCCGCGGCCGAUUAGCUUGUUGGUAGGGUAACGGCCUACCAAGGCUUCGAUCGGUAGCCGGUCUGAGAGGAUGACCGGUCACACUGGGACUGAGACAUGGUCCAGACUCCUACGGGAGUUAGCAUCAGGGAAUCUUGCGCAAUGGGCGAAAGCCUGACGCAGCGACGCCGCGUGGGUGAUGAAGGCCUGCGGGUCGUAAAGCCCUGUCGGGAGGGAAGAAACAGCACCUUCGGGUGCUUUGACUGUACCUCCGGAGGAAGCCCCGGCUAAUUACGUGCCAGCAGCCGCGGUAAUACGUAAGGGGCCAGCGUUGUCCGGGAAUUACUGGGCGUAAAGAGCACGUAGGCGGUUAGGAAAGCGAUAGGUGAAAUCCCCCGGCUCAACCGAGGAACUGCUUAUCGAACUGCCUGACUAGAGCACGGGAGAGGGCACUGGAAUUCCUGGUGUAGCGGUGGAAUGCGUAUAUAUCAGGAGGAACACCGGUGGCGAAGGCUGGUGCCUGGAAACGUUGCUGACGCUAAGGUGCGAAAGCCAGGGGAACAAACGGGAUUAGAUACCCCGGUAGUCCUGGCCGUAAACGAUGGACACUAGGUGUUGGAGGUUCGACCCCUUCAGUGCUGUUAAGCUAACGCGUUAAGUGUCCCGCCUGGGGAGUACGGUCGCAAGGCUGAAACUCAAAGGAAUUGACGGGGGCCCGCACAAGCGGUGGAGCAUGUGGGUCAAUGGGAUGAUACGCCGAGAACCUUACCAGGGCUUGACAUGACCCUGAUCCCCUGCGAAAGCAGGUCUUUCUGGGCAACCAGACAGGGCCACAGGUGGUGCAUGGUUGUCGACAGCUCCUGUCGUGAGAUGUUGGGUUAAGUCCCGCAACGAGCGCAACCCUCGCCGGAUGUUGCCAGCGGUUAGGCCGGGCACUCUUCCGGGACUGCCGGAGUAAUCCGGAGGAAGGGGGGGAUGACGUCAAAUCUGCAUGCCCCUUAUGUCCUGGGCUGCACACGUGCUACAAUGGCGAGUACAAAGGGUCGCGAAGCCGCGAGGCCCAGCUAAUCCCCAAAAACUCGUCCCAGUUUGGAUUGGAGUCUGCAACUCGACUCCAUGAAGUCGGAAUCGCUAGUAACCGUGGAUCAGCAAUGCCGCGGUGAAUACGUUCCCGGGCCUUGUACACACCGCCCGUCAAGUCACGGAAGCCGACAGCACCCCAAGUCCGCUACGGCGGCCCAAGGUGAGGUCAGUGACUGGG